UACGAGGGGAGCUAGCGUUAUUCGGAAUUACUGGGCGUAAAGCGCACGUAGGCGGCUUUGUAAGUAAGGGGUGAAAGCCCAGAGCUCAACUCUGGAAUAGCCUUUUAGACUGCAUCGCUUGAAUCCAGGAGAGGUGAGUGGAAUUCCGAGUGUAGAGGUGAAAUUCGUAGAUAUUCGGAAGAACACCAGUGGCGAAGGCGGCUCACUGGACUGGUAUUGACGCUGAGGUGCGAAAGCGUGGGGAGCAAACAGG
rnacentral:rRNA from 1 species